ACGAAAGUCUGACGGAGCGACGCCGCGUGGUGGAUGAAGUCCUUUGGGACGUAAACACCUUUUAUGAGGGAUGAAGUUUAUUGACAGUACCUCAUGAAUAAGGGGCUCCUAAUUCUGUGCCAGCAGGAGCGGUAAUACAGAAGCCUCAAGCGUUACCCGGAAUCACUGGGCGUAAAGGGUCCGUAGGUGGUUAUAUUAGUCUCUCGUUAAAUCUAUAGGCUUAACCUAUAGUCUGCGGGGGAAACGGUAUAACUAGAGGAUAUAAGAGGUUGAGGGAACUCACGGUGUAGGGGUGAAAUCCGUUGAUAUCGUGGGGAACACCAAAGGCGAAGGCACUCAACUGGUAUAUUCCUGACACUGAUGGACGAAAGCCAGGGUAGCGAACGGGAUUAGAUACCCCGGUAGUCCUGGCCCUAAACGCUGCUCGCUCGCUUUCGGGAGUAUCGACCCUCUCGGAGGCUAAGCUAACGCGGUAAGCGAGCCGCCUGGGUAGUACGAGCGCAAGCUUAAAACUCAAAGGAAUAGACGGGGACUUGCACAAGCGGUGGAUCAUGCGGCUUAAUUCGUCGCUAAGCGAAGAACCUUACCAGGGUUAGAAAUCCAGCUGCAUAUUCUAAGAAACUAGAAUAGCCUUCGAGGGUGCUGGACAGGUGAUGCAUGGCCGUCGUCAGUUCGUGGUUUGAACUGUUCCCUUAAGUGGGGUAACGAACGCAACCCUCGUUGCCUGUUAUAAGUGUCAGGCGAGACUGCUCCCUCACGGGAGAGGAAGGUGGGGAUGACGCCAGGUCAGCAUGUCCCUUGAUACCCUGGGCUGCACGCGUGAUACAAUGGUUGGUACAAUGAGACGCAAUGGGGUAACCCGGAGCAAAUCUAUUAAAACCAAUCUCAAUCCGGAUUGAGGUCUGAAACUCGACCUCAUGAAGUCGGAAUCGCUAGUAAUCGUGGGUCAGCAACACCACGGUGAAUACGUUCUCAAGUCUUGUACUCACCGCCCGUCAAGUCAAGGGAGUUGGGGGUGCCCGACGUUCCAGUUAAUCUGGACCUAAGGCAAAUUCAAUGACAAGGACUAAGUCGUAACAAGGCACGGCUAGCGGAAGCUGGUCGUG
rnacentral:rRNA from 1 species